UACGUAGGGUGCAAGCGUUUGUCCGGAAUUUAUUGGGGCGUAAAGAGCUCGUAGGCGGUCUGUCGCGUCUGCUGUGAAAAUCCAGGGCUCAACCCUGGACCUGCAGUGGGUACGGGCAGACUAGAGUGCGGUAGGGGAGAUCGGAAUUCCUGGUGUAGCGGUGAAAUGCGCAGAAUAUCGAGGAGGAACACCGGUGGCGAAGG
rnacentral:rRNA from 1 species